rnacentral:tRNA from 1 species
GGAGAGAUGUCCGAGUGGUUUAAGGAGCACGCCUGGAAAGUGUGUAUACGGUGAUACCGUAUCGAGGGUUCGAAUCCCUCUCUCUCCG